rnacentral:tmRNA from 1 species
UUUGAGUGGCCUGCCUGGCGGCAGCUCAAUUCCGAAAAUCAAUGACAGGAUAAGCGUGUAGAAAGCUUUUGGAUGGUUUGUUUGGACGGCGGUUCGAGUCCGCCCAUCUCCACAA